AACGUAUAUUGCGCCCCUUGGUAUUCCGAGGGGCAUGCCUGUUCGAGCGUCAUUAUAACCCUCAAGUAUUGCUUGGUAUUAGGCCCCGCUGCUUACCUAGCGGGCCUUAAAAUCAGUGGCGGUGCCGUCGAGGCCCUGAGCGUAGUAAAUAUCCUCGCUAUAGGGACUCGGUGGACGCUGGCCAUCAACCCCCAACUUUCUAAGUUUGACCUCGGAUCAGGUAGGGAUACCCGCUGAACUUAA
rnacentral:misc_RNA from 1 species